AACACAUGCAAGUCGAACGGUAGCACAGAGAGCUUGCUCUCGGGUGACGAGUGGCGGACGGGUGAGUAAUGUCUGGGAAACUGCCCGAUGGAGGGGGAUAACUACUGGAAACGGUAGCUAAUACCGCAUAAUGUCGCAAGACCAAAGAGGGGGACCUUCGGGCCUCUUGCCAUCGGAUGUGCCCAGAUGG
rnacentral:rRNA from 1 species